rnacentral:rRNA from 1 species
CCUACGGGUGGCAGCAGUCGAGAAUCAUUCACAAUGGGGGAAACCCUGAUGCUGCGACGCCGCGUGGGGGAAUGAAGGUCUUCGGAUGGUAAACCCCUGUCAUGUGGGAGCAAAUUAAAACGAUAGCACCACAAGAGGAAGAGACGGCUAACUCGGUGCCAGCAGCCGCGGUAAUACAGAGGUCUCAAGCGUUGUUCGGAAUCACUGGGCGUAAAGCCUGCGUAGGCGGUUUCGUAAGUCGGGUGUGAAAGGCGCGGGCUCAACCCGCGGACGGCACAUGAUACUGCGAGACUAGAGUAAUGGAGGGGGAACCGGAAUUCUCGGUGUAGCAGUGAAAUGCGUAGAUAUCGAGAGGAACACUAGUGGCGAAGGCGGGUUGCUGGACAUUAACUGACGCUGAGGCACGAAGGCCAGGGGAGCGAAAGGGAUUAGAUACCCCAGUAGUC